CUCUAUGGAAGGAAUUUUUAUUCAAGUAUAAUCAUCCAUGCACGAAGGGUGGAUCAUUAUGUAGAAUGUUCAAAUAUAUAAAUAAGGGAGUCACUGGGUAUGGGUAACUUAUGGGGAAACUCUGGAAACUGCCUCAUAUUUACACAAAACAAGAUGGAUGGCAGAACUGGUAUGCUGUGGUGGAGAGUAGGUUGUCUGGGACAUGGAUGUUAUUUCGAUGUGCCAAUUCAUGGGCAAGUUCUCUGCAUUUGACACGAAUCAACCCAUAAAACUGGUCAGUGAGAUCAGAUAAGACCCUGCUACUCUAUCAUAUCCUCUUUGACGCAGGUGCAUGUUCAUAUUCUUUUGUCAGUGUUCCUCUUCAGUGUCAUUCAGUUAGAAAGUUGUAUCCCUUUGCUGCUACUCGAAUGUACUUUUUCCCUUCUCUCACUUCCUGUCGCUGCUCUCUCAAGAACCACAAGGGGGGCUAGACUUUUGCUUGUUUUACGUUUGUAUACGUAGUGCAUGAUGACGUCUGCUCUGUAACAAUAAAAAUGCACAAUAUUU